CCUACGGGAGGCAGCAGUGAGGAAUAUUGGUCAAUGGACGAGAGUUUGAACCAGCCAAGUAGCGUGAAGGAUGACUGCCCUAUGGGUUGUAAACUUCUUUUAUAUGGGAAUAAAAUGUUCCACGUGUGGGAUUUUGUAUGUACCAUAUGAAUAAGGAUCGGCUAACUCCGUGCCAGCAGCCGCGGUCAUACGUAGGAUCCGAGCAUUAUCCGGAGUGACUGGGUGUAAAGAGUUGCGUAGGUGGCAUAAUAAGUAGCUAGUGAAAUCUGGUGGCUCAACCAUUCAGACUAUUAGCUAAACUGUUAAGCUCGAGACCGUUAGGGGUAACUGGAAUUUCUAGUGUAGGAGUGAAAUCCGUAGAUAUUAGAAGGAACACCAAUAGCGUAGGCAGGUUGCUGGGACGGUUCUGACACUAAGGCACGAAAGCGUAGGGAGCAAACGGGAUUAGAUACCCGAGUAGUC
rnacentral:rRNA from 1 species